UAGAGGAUUAAAAACCCCCUAAAACCCACUGUGAACAUACCUAUCGUUGCUUCGGCGGGAUCGCCCCGGCGCCUCUGUGCCCGGAGUCAGGCGCCCGCCGGAGGCCCCAAAACUAUUCUUAUAUUUCGUGGCAUUCUCUGAGUGGUACAAACAAAUAAAUCA
rnacentral:misc_RNA from 1 species